rnacentral:lncRNA from 1 species
AAAAACUGAAUCAACCCAUUAGAAUACUGUAAACAGGAAUACAUGAACGUGCUGCAACCUGACAAUUUCACGUCAGAAACUUGUCUGACUCUCCUUUCGACAAUUAUACCGGUAGAAGGGAUUUGUUGAAGACCAACAAUGACCUGAUCAACAUGUAGUGACAAUGCAACUUCAAUAGAAUAUGAUUACGCUACGUCAUUUGCGAGACAGACAUUCGACCGCAACGUCAACUGUUAAUCAAAUUGCUAAAUGCCAUUUUGCACAGCUUUAUGCCACAAAUGUUUCCCAUUAACUGAACUGCCAAAGAAUCGACUGCAGAAAAACAUUUAUAGGCUUAAAGUUUCAACUGCAUAAUUGCCAAAACCCAUUGUAAUGGGUGGACAACGGUAAAAUCAGAAGGUGAAAAACAGAACCAAAAACGUUCCGAAUAGAAUUGGUUGACCUUCAUUGGUAAGGGGAAAACCAGGGUUUCAGUGUAUAGCACAAUAUUUGAACGUUGAAAAUGACGAAAUCAAUUGAACUUUCUACCUGGCAUUUUUUUUAAACAUUGAAGUAAUGAAAGAACUUUCUGUUUAUAAGUUUGUUUACAAAAAAAUAAAUAUUUAAAAAUGGGAAUAACAAAGAAUAAUCUAGUGUUGUGUUUCUAAAGUCGGGC